rnacentral:tRNA from 1 species
UGGGGCGUGGCCAAGCGGUAAGGCAACGGCCUUUGGAGCCGUUAUCGUAGGUUCGAAUCCUACCGCCCCAG